UAUAUACUCCCUCCGUCCGAAAAUACUUGUCGAAGAAAUGGAUGUAUCUAGAACUAAAAUACAUCUAGAUACAUCCUUCCGGGACAAGUAUUCCGGGACGGAGGGAGUAAUAG
rfam:Triticum urartu cultivar G1812 contig376304, whole genome shotgun sequence.